rnacentral:sRNA from 1 species
ACAGUCUGACUCUAGAAAGAAGUGUGGCUCUAGAACAACCCAACUUUAGAGCCGUUCCAGGUCAUAGCUGACGAGUUCAGCUAGGCAACAAGUCAAGUGUUCGGUUUGAAGAUCUGCGGAAGGUCUUUCUGUUUGGAUAUGAGGUGGAGACAGUCUUAAGAAGACCACAUGGAGAUGUGCACACCCACGAAGAAGGGACACAACCUUCUCAGCAUGGACUAGCACAUCGAGAGUUACAGUGAGAUGAACAGCUGUGUUCUACUCAGGACUCCUGCCUUGACGCUAUGCCCCUCGUAGACCCAAAACCAUGGUGCCAACCACUCUCUGAAACUUGCUUCCAUUACUGGCUCAAGAUUCCUCCGGCCCACCGUGGCACCCGUGUCGUGGCAUGCAGUGACAAUGAGCUCAGGGUGCCAAAGUAGACGUGUGCAGAGCAACGGAAAGACUACACAGGGACACUUCACCGGAAUGUAGCAACAGGCUAAUGGCAUCUUCAACUUCACGUGACCUGCGUUUGGAACAUCAGAAUUAAGCAUCCAUAUUGACUCUGCCUUUCUUGUGAAAACAAUUAAACAGUGUGUGCUAGGCAGAGAGUCAUCUCAGGGAUUAAAAGGUGUUCACCUAUUCUUGCAAAAUCCAAGACAUGAAGGGCGGGUGUCAGAUCCUGUCCUGAGAGAGGUAGGGUGUAGGAGGGACCCUUACCAGAUGGCUGUAGUAGUCCUGUUCCUUAGGCAUCAGAAACACCCAGGAACUGUCCAACGACAAGGGUCGGACUGCCGUGAACUUGAAGAGGACAUUUCAGAAAGUCGUGUGUUUUGCAUAAAGACACACAGGCCAAGGGAAGGUUUGCAGUGGAUAAAAAUAGUCGCUGAGUCCCCGGCGUAGAUAACUCCACCUUAGAUGGGUGCAGUUACGGCUUGGCCCAUCAAAGCGACGGGGCUUCCCACAUCCCUCUGAAUUUCCUUCAGGGUCUUCAAAACCCAGCACUUACUCAAAAGCAGCAUGCAGCUGUGACUGACUGCUGUUUUAUGGCACGUUUACAAGAAUCGUAAUGUCCCCUAAAGCAGUUCUGAAAAUAGUAGAGUUCCCCCUUUCUGGUUUCUCCAU